rnacentral:rRNA from 1 species
UACGGGGGAGCAAGCGUUGUUCGGAUUUACUGGCGUAAAGGGCGCGUAGGCGGUCAGCACAAGUCAGUUGUGAAAUCUCCGGGCUUAACUCGGAAAGGUCAACUGAUACUGUGCGACUAGAGUGCAGAAGGGGCAACUGGAAUUCUCGGUGUAGCGGUGAAAUGCGUAGAUAUCGAGAGGAACACCUGCGGCGAAGGCGGGUUGCUGGGCUGACACUGACGCUGAUGCGCGAAGCC